ensembl:lncRNA
CUCUCUGUGGACCAGGAAGCUGUGAAUCAGCUUUUCCAACAAAAACUUAGUGUGUGUCAAGGCGAUACAGGGAGGACUGUUAACCAUGUGCUACAGUGGCUAGGGUUCCCCAUCAUUCCCAGGGCCUCCCAUCACUGUCUUUCUGUCUGUGGUGCCACCCAUCACUGGCUGAGGAGGAGAGGGCCUCCCAUCACUGGCAGAGGAGGAGAGGGCCUCCCAUCACUGGCAGAGGAAGGAGAGGGCCACCCAUCACUGGCUGAGGAGGAGAGGGCCACCCAUCACUGGCUGAGGAGGAGAGGGCCACCCAUCACUGGCUGAGGAGGAGAGGGCCACCCAUCACUGGCUGAGGAGGAGAGGGCCACCCAUCACUGGCUGAGGAGGAGAGGGCCACCCAUCACUGGCUGAGGAGGAGAGGGCCACCC